rnacentral:rRNA from 1 species
UACGUAGGCAGCAAGCGUUGUUCGGAAUUACUGGGCGUAAAGGGUGCGUAGGCGGCUUUUUAAGUUUGGUGUGAAAUCUCCCGGCUCAACUGGGAGGGUGCGCCGAAUACUGAGAAGCUAGAGUGUGGGAGAGGAAAGUGGAAUUCCUGGUGUAGCGGUGAAAUGCGAAGAUAUCAGGAGGAACACCGGUGGUGUAAACGGCUUUCUGGACCAUAACUGACGCUGAGGCACGAAAGCGUGGGUAGCAAACAGG